rnacentral:rRNA from 1 species
UUGAACGCUGGCGGCAGGCCUAACACAUGCAAGUCGCACGGUAACAGGAAACAGCUUGCUGUUUCGCUGACGAGUGGCGGACGGGUGAGUAAUGUCUGGGAAACUGCCUGAUGGAGGGGGAUAACUACUGGAAACGGUAGCUAAUACCGCAUAACGUCACAAGACCCAAGAGGGGGACCUUCGGGCCUCUUGCCAUCGGAUGUGCCCAGAUGGGAUUAGCUAGUAGGUGGGGUAACGGCUCACCUAGGCGACGAUCCCUAGCUGGUCUGAGAGGAUGACCAGCCACACUGGAACUGAGACACGGUCCAGACUCCUACGGGAGGCAGCAGUGGGGAAUAUUGCACAAUGGGCGCAAGCCUGAUGCAGCCAUGCCGCGUGUAUGAAGAAGGCCUUCGGGUUGUAAAGUACUUUCAGCGGGGAGGAAGGGAGUAAAGUUAAUACCUUUACUCAUUGACGUUACCCGCAGAAGAAGCACCGGCUAACUCCGUG